CCCCUUUGUGGUCGGUGGACAGGUGGUGCAUGGUUGUCGUCAGCUCGUGUCGUGAGAUGUUGGGUUAAGUCCCGCAACGAGCGCAACCCUCGUCCUAUGUUGCCAGCGGGUCAUGCCGGGGACCCAUGGGAGACUGCCGGGGUCAACUCGGAGGAAGGUGGGGAUGACGUCAAAUCAUCAUGCCCCUUAUGUCUUGGGCUUCACGCAUGCUACAAUGGCCGGUACAAAGGGCUGCGAUACCGCGAGGUGGAGCGAAUCCCAGAAAGCCGGUCUCAGUUCGGAUUGGGGUCUGCAACUCGACCCCAUGAAGUCGGAGUCGCUAGUAAUCGCAGAUCAGCAACGCUGCGGUGAAUACGUUCCCGGGCCUU
rnacentral:rRNA from 1 species